UACGUAGGGGGCAAGCGUUGUCCGGAUUUACUGGGCGUAAAGAGCGUGUAGGCGGCUCGGUAAGUCUGCUGUGAAAGUCCAGGGCUCAACCCUGGGAUGCCGGUGGAUACUGUCGAGCUCGAGUCCGGAAGAGGCGAGUGGAAUUCCUGGUGUAGCGGUGAAAUGCGCAGAUAUCAGGAGGAACACCGAUGGCGAAGGCAGGUCUCUGGGCCACUACUGACGCUGAGAAGCGAAAGCAUGGGGAGCGAACAGG
rnacentral:rRNA from 1 species